GAUGAACGCUGACAGAAUGCUUAACACAUGCAAGUCAACUGUGGCGGACGGGUGAGUAACGCGUAAAGAACUUGCCUCACAGCUAGGGACAACAUUUGGCAACGAAUGCUAAUACCUGAUACUGUGAGAGAGCUUUGCGUCCCAUUAGCUAGUUGGAGCGGUAACGGCUCACCAAGGCGAUGAUGGGUAGCCGGCCUGAGAGGGUGAUCGGCCACAAGGGGACUGAGAAACUGACCGUACUCCUACGGGAGGCAGCAGUGGGGAAUAUUGGAAAAUGGACCAAAGUCUGAUCAAGCAAUUCGGGGUGCACGAUGAAGUUUUCGGAAUGUAAAGUGCUUUCAGUUGGGAAGCGGUACCAACAGAAGAAGUGACGGCUAAAUACGUGCCAGCAGCCGCGGUAAUUC
rnacentral:rRNA from 1 species